UGGGGAAUAUUGGACAAUGGGCGAAAGCCUGAUCCAGCCAUGCCGCGUGAGUGAUUUGAAGGCCCUAGGGUUGUAAAGCUCUUUCGGCGGGGAAGAUGAUGACGGUACCCGCAGAAGAAGCCCCGGCUAACUCCGUGCCAGCAGCCGCGGUAAUACGGAGGGGGCUAGCGUUGCUCGGAAUCACUGGGCGUAAAGCGAGCGUAGGCGGCCGCGCAAGUCGGGGGUGAAAGCCCGGGGCUCAACCCCGGAACUGCCCUCGAAACUGCGUGGCUAGAGGCCGGGAGAGGAGAGUGGAAUUCCCAGUGGAGAGGUGAAAUUCGCAGAUAUUGGGAGGAACACCGGUGGCGAAAGCGGCUCUCUGGAACGGUUCUGACGCUGAGGCUCGAAAGCGUGGGGAGCAAACAGG
rnacentral:rRNA from 2 species